AAUGAGAAAUAUAUUAUUUUUUUAUAACAAAAGUAUUUUUGAUAUAAGUAAUUUUUUGAAAGUAGGUGAAUUAUUAUAGUGAACAGUAUAGUGAUAGAAUUAUUAAAUUAGGAUUUAUAUUAAAAGAAAGAAGGAUUAGUUUUCUGUACCUUGUGUAUCAGGGUUUAUCAAAAUAAGUCAAUAAAUUGAUUUUCUCGAAUUGGAAAGAUCUAUAGUUUUAUCAAUUUAAUUGUGGCAUAAAUUUUUAAAAUAGGAUUAUAGUUGUGAAAUGCUAUACGUUUUUCAAGAUAUCUAGUUUCUUAAGAAAUGAAUUUAAUUCAGGGUUUCAGGUGUAUAGUUAUAAAUUGAUAUUUCUAUACUGAGGGGGUCUAAUGUUUUAAGGGAUAAGCUUUAGAACAAAUUAUUAUAAUGGAAUUUAUUUAGUAGAAAGUUUGUAGAGUUGGGAAUGCUUAUCUUUAGUUUGUUAUAAUUAACUUUUUGGUUAAUAUGAUUUAUAUUUAAUUUAAGGUUUAUAUUAAGACUACGAUUUUAAUUAUGAAUUUUUUGUGAUAAUGUUAAAAUUAGUAUAGAAAAUUGUGUGCUUAAAUUUAAGAUCAAGGUUAAGUUAAGGAACUCGGCAAAUUAACUUUCCGCCUGUUUAUUAAAAACAUGUCUUUUUGAUUAUAAUUUAAAGUCUGACCUGCCCAAUGAGGAGUUAAAUGGCCGCGGUAAUUUGACCGUGCAAAGGUAGCAUAAUCAUUAGUUUUUUAAUUGAAAGCUGGAAUGAACGGUUGGACGAGAAAGUGACUGUCUCAAUUUAAUUGAUUAUAGAAUUUUAUUUGUGAGUAAAAAAGCUCACAUGAUUUUAAAAGACGAGAAGACCCUAUAGAAUUUUAUAUUUGAAUUUAUAUUUUUUUAUUAGUAGGUUAAGUUUAAUAUAAGUUUAAUUAUUUUGUUGGGGCGAUGGAAAAAUUGAAUGAACUUUUUUUUGUUUUUAAUCAUUGAUUUAUGAGUAUUUGAUCCGUUGUUUACGAUUAUAAGAUAAAAUUACCUUAGGGAUAACAGCGUAAUUUUUCUUUAGAGUUCUUAUCGAAAGAAGAGUUUGCGACCUCGAUGUUGGAUUAAAAUUAACUUUUGGUGUAGGGGCUAAAAGGUUAGGUCUGUUCGACCUUUAAAAUUUUACAUGAUCUGAGUUUAAACCGGCGUGAGCCAGGUUGGUUUCUAUCUUUAAAUAGAUAAAGUGUUUUAGUACGAAAGGAUCAGGCACUUGUAAAAUUUAUUUAAUGUUGAAUGUUAUUA
rnacentral:rRNA from 1 species